ACUUCUGUUCCUCCCCGCCCUGGUGCUGCUCCGGGUCACAUACUCGUCCUGAGCCGGCUUCAGCCUCUCCGCGCAGAAGUCUCCCGGAGCCGACUUCUGAGAGUCGAGUACUCCUAUGUGAAGACUACCAAGCUCGUGUUCAAGGGAACCAAGGCGAAGAGGCGAGAUGGAAAGAAAGUAUCAAGGAGUGAGCUGAAGCCACUGCCCUUGAGAACCCUCUCGAGGAGUCUGGGCUCAUGAGGAUGCCAGAAUAAGUGGCAGUAAGAAGAAAAAGAACAAAGAUAAGAAAAGAAAAAGAGAAGAAGAUGAAGAAACCCAGCUUGAUAUGUUGAAUCACCCUGAAAUCUGGCUAUGGAAAAUAUCUUGGUAUAAAUUCAGAUGAACUUGUUGUUGGGCGUUCAGAUGCAAUUGGACCAAGAGAACAAUGGGAACCAGUCUUUAAAAUUGGGAAAAUGGCUUUGUCGACCUCAAAUAGCUGCUUUAUUAGAUACAGUGAAGCAGAGGACAUAGAAGCAAAAAGUAAAACAGCAGGAGAAGAAGAAAUGAUCAAGGCUCUCCUAAUCUCUGUCAGACCUUCACCUUUAUGACCUUGCCUUAUCUACCAGAACACAGAUCCCUCUUACUAAAGAUUAGAUCCUGUGCUGAAAGAGAAACCAAGAAAAAAGAUGACAUUCCAGAAGAAGACAAAGGAAAUAUAAAACAAUGUGAAAUCAA
ensembl:lncRNA novel transcript